CCCUCUUCCUCCCCUGGAAUAAACAUCUUGGACCACAUCGGGGGUUGGAGCCUCUUUUGGAAUCUUUUGCCUUGCUCCUGAAAUACUUCCCCAAGGCCUCCCAGAUCUGGGCUAGUCUGGUAACUUUGGGGGGCUUCAGGGGAUAGAUAUUUCAGUUGGCUCCGAACGUGGUUUUUAAUGAAAUAUUAAAAGCCCACGCAAAAGAUGGAGCCCUUAUUUGAGGGUCUCAAAAGCUCUUUGGGAAGUUCAACUACCUUGUUGCUUAUUAGCUGCUUUUUGGGUGGCUUUGAAUGACGGGAGAGGGUCGGGAACUUGCCUCAGCACCUCAGACGAGUCGGCCCGGACCACGAAAUCCUGACACUGCUACACACGACAGCCACGGUCCAAAAGAAGCGGUAAGACCCCUCGUGUGCGGUUUAUCCCGGGAAAAACCCCUAGCUGCAGGGGAGGUGUUACCAUCGCGACCGUGGAAACUGCAACUGCAGUAAGGUAGGACCCAGCAGUCACAGUUUGUAACAACGAGCGUGCUUGUGUGAGUUUUUCUGCAGAUUGGCGCUCUGUGGCAGCGGAGCCACCCCGACUGACUAAGCCCGCGUUUCGGGGGUGAAGACAGCGAAGGACAGAUCUACUGACUGAGAAGUCAUUACAGUGGACCUGUCAAACAUCUCACAGGACCUGAUGGUUUACCACAUGGGACUGGACACUGUGGCGAGUGAAGGUGCAGAAACAACAUAAAGAAAACAAUGACAGUGAGGAUUAGCCCCCAAUGACUGGAAAUCCAAAAGGAGGGAUGCCCAUACAGACUAUUUCAGCAGACAGUCUGUGGGUAGGCACACGGCGCUUCCCCCAAUGUCGACGCACUGGUUACUGCUCCGGUCCACUACUGCAGAGUGUCAGUCGCGGCCUCCCGUCCUUUUCCUCUAGCUGAGAUGUCCAAGUUUCUGAGGCCUUAGAGACCUUGACCAGAGUGUGAUGGGUCCACUGGUGUUCAGCUGUCUUGAUGGAUAUUUCUGUGGUCAGUAACACUUGAAAAGGUCCACGCCACUUCGCCACUAGUGGUGCUUUUUUUCACCCCUUAACUAGGACCCAAUCUUCUGGUUGGAUGUUAUGAACAGUAGAGUCUAAAGGCAGGGUCUGUGCCAGCUGAGCUUCCUGUCAAAGAGGUUUCACAAGAGACAGUAUCCUGUCCACAUAUUGUUUUAAAUACACAUCACUUAUUUCCACUCCUCUACUAUGCUGAGAAUUAUAAGGGUAAGGAAUUCCAAACAUCAAUUCAAAGGGAGAUAACUGAAUAUCUCCUCUGGGUCUGGCCCUUAUUCUUGCCAAAGCCAAUGGCAAAAGCCAUACCCAUGGCAUCUUAGUUUCUAUCACCAGCUUCAGGAGGUGUUUCUUUAUUUCUCCAUUCAUUCUUUUAACCCGACCUGAAUUCUGGGAGUGCCGGGGGGUAUGGAGGUUCCAUUGUAUUCCUAAAGCAGUCAUAACUCCUUGAAGAAUUUUUCCUGUAAAAUGAGAUCCCCUGAGUCUAUUGCUUUCACAAUCCCAUAUCUUUGAAUGAUUUGUUCCAAAAAUACUUUAAUAAUUGAUCCUCUAGUUGCUGAAACAGUUGGAAAUGCUUCUGGCCACCCUUUUAGCUGACAUACUAUUACCAGUGGGAAAGACAUUUCUGUGCUGUUUUUGUGAGCCAGCGAAAGCUUCUUGAAGAUAAGGAAAGCCUCAUAUCUCUCUCAAGGAAUUUACCAAGGCUAUCACCAUGACAAUGCAAAGAAAGAGAGAGAAAAAAAAGUAUAAGCAAAAAGAUCUAGACUUUGGUACACAGUGGCGUGGCUCCUUUCACCUAUUGAAAGCUUUGUUUCUUCUUUAUGACCAAUGGGCAGUGUAUGUGUUCAUUAAGUAAAUGUAAACAUCUUAUAAAACUAUAAAAAGCAACAUGUUGCUUCAAUAAAGGGAUCUAAACAGCCUUCUGAGUGAGUCCUGGUGCUUUGCGCCAUGUGGGGCUCAAUAGCGACAAUUACCAGAAGAUAUCUAAACCUUGCCACUUGGGGCAUUUUGGUAAAACCCACCUGGCAUCUUUGGAAGGCCCCUGACUCCAUACUUAACCCAGGACCCUGCACUGUUUGUUCGCCUUUGUGUCUGGACUCUUUCAGUGUGACUCUAUAAUAAACCUCGCUGGAACUCUAUAGAGACCCUUUCCCUCUUACUUCACUGACCUAUCUGUGGUGUGAGUGUGGAUUGAGUGACUGUAUGUACUUGCCCAAGCAGCUUUCUCAGAAGACGCUUUUGGGAAAUAGCAGCAAAACACCAUCCAUUUUACCACAUUGCUAAAGAGAAAAUUGGGAAAAAAUUGUUUAUUUAAUAGGCAAAGCAUUUAGCAGCGGAAAAAAAAAAAA